AUUGAACGCUGGCGGCAGGCCUAACACAUGCAAGUCGAGCGGAUGAAGGGAGCUUGCUCCUGGAUUCAGCGGCGGACGGGUGAGUAAUGCCUAGGAAUCUGCCUGGUAGUGGGGGAUAACGUCCGGAAACGGGCGCUAAUACCGCAUACGUCCUGAGGGAGAAAGUGGGGGAUCUUCGGACCUCACGCUAUCAGAUGAGCCUAGGUCGGAUUAGCUAGUUGGUGGGGUAAAGGCCUACCAAGGCGACGAUCCGUAACUGGUCUGAGAGGAUGAUCAGUCACACUGGAACUGAGCAACGGUCCAAACCCCUCCGGAGGCAGGCAGUGGGAAAUAUUGAACAAUGGCCGAAGCCUGAUCCAGCCAUGCCGCGUGUGUGAAGAAGGUCUUCGGAUUGUAAAGCACUUUAAGUUGGGAGGAAGGGCAGUAAGUUAAUACCUUGCUGUUUUGACGUUACCAACAGAAUAAGCACCGGCUAACUUCGU
rnacentral:rRNA from 1 species